rnacentral:rRNA from 1 species
AACGAACGCUGGCGGCAUGCCUAACACAUGCAAGUCGAACGAGACCUUCGGGUCUAGUGGCGCACGGGUGCGUAACGCGUGGGAAUCUACCCUUGGGUUCGGAAUAACAGUUAGAAAUGACUGCUAAUACCGGAUGAUGACGUAAGUCCAAGGAUUUAUCGCCCAAGGAUGAGCCCGCGUAAGAUUAGCUCGUUGGUGGGGUAAUGGCCUACCAAGGCGACGAUCUUUAGCUGGUCUGAGAGGAUGAUCAGCCACACUGGGACUGAGACACGGCCCAGACUCCUACGGGAGGCAGCAGUGGGGAAUAUUGGACAAUGGGCGAAAGCCGAUCCAGCAAUGCCGCGUGAGAGAUGAAGGCCUUAGGGUUGUAAAGCUCUUUUACCAGGGAUGAUAAUGACAGUACCUGGAGAAUAAGCUCCGGCUAACUCCGUGCCAGCCGCCGCGGUAA